UACAGAGGGUGCGAGCGUUAAUCGGAAUUACUGGGCGUAAAGCGCGCGUAGGCGGCUUUGCAAGUCGGGUGUGAAAUCCCCAGGCUUAACCUGGGAACUGCAUUCGAGACUGCAUUGCUAGAGUAUGGGAGAGGGAAGUGGAACUUCCGGUGUAGCGGUGAAAUGCGUAGAUAUCGGAAGGAACAUCAGUGGCGAAAGCGACUUCCUGGACCAAUACUGACGCUCAUGUGCGAAAGCGUGGGGAGCAAACAGG
rnacentral:rRNA from 1 species